UUUUAAGGAACGUAACCUAAGUGCGCGGCGUCCUGCCGCAACGGUUACGUGACCCACAUCCUGUGGG
rnacentral:sRNA from 1 species